ACAUAAUUGCACAAUCAAGUGAAUUAAAAUAAGCAAAAUUGAAUACAAAAUAUGAAAAUAAAAGUUUUAAAAAAAGAUGAUAAAAUGUAUGUACAUUGCAACUUUACAAUUGUCAUAACAUAUUAUUACUUUUUAAAUCAGCAAUAUCCCAAACUGUAUAAAUUAUAAGUCCAUCAAAAAAUUGUAAGAGUGCUUUUCUUGCGCAAUAACCCUCAGUAUUUAAAGCAACUUAAAAAAAACAAUUGAAAUCUAUCAGUAAAAAAAUAAUGGAAGAAAUAUAUAUUAAUUUGUUUGGUUUUCAUCCUAUUAUUCAUAAACUUAUGUUAAGCAAUUAACUUACUGUGAUAAAACUCAAAAGUUAGAAGCGCAACCCACUUUUUGCCAAAAAAAAAUCAAUGAGGAUAAAUUUGUUACAAUAUUCAGUUUUCUGUGACCUUUCUCUCUAGGUAAAAAAUUUUAAAAAAUCAAUGUGAUGUGACCUCCAAGUAUAAUAGAAAUAUAAAUACCAACCUAGAAUUCACAUAAAUAUGAUAAUGCAUGUUGAAAAUCAUUUAAUGGAGUUGAAGCUUGUAAGACAUGUAUAACCCUGAGAAAUCAAACUUUAACUAAAGUGAAAAAAUAAACAUUUUUUAUUCUAAUGUUAACAUAAAAAUAAUACAACGUAACAAAAAUAAUGAAUAAUGGUUCAUUAGUUAUGAAUCUUAACGGUCUAUAUGAAAAGCUGACGGUACAAGAGUGCAACAGCACAACAAUGAGCAAGCCUUCAUAAGGGAGAAUCCAUUAAAGUUAAUGGGGGAGAUAAGUCUAACUUUUGCACUAAUUGCAUUCCCCACAUAAAAAUUAAUGGUCCAGUCCUAUUCUGCACAGACCACUGAUAUAUCUUUCUUCAUUAGUCUUUCUGGAAAUUAUAAUUAAUGUACUGUGGAUUCAUUUAUUUUCGUGGGUAUCAAUUUUCGUGGAUAGAGAAAAAAAGACGUUUCGUGGUAUACGUAAAUC
rnacentral:lncRNA from 1 species